rnacentral:lncRNA from 1 species
CAUCCAGCUGAUGACCAACUAUGGAAGCCGCCAAGCAAGGUGCAGCCGCCCUUGUCGUGCAGCAGUGGCGAGCUUGCAGGGCUGUGGUGCAGGAAGUCCGAGUGGCCACGCUCCCUCGCCCAGGACGGUGGCAAACCGCCUGCCAGAGCCGUCAGCUUGGAAGGGACCAAGCCUCUGGCUUCUGCUUGGCCUUCCCGUUUGACUGCCUCUGUUUCUCUCAACAGUUGCACUGGAAGCGAGGGAGGCUGCGAUGAGGAAGAAGAACUCCUUGAAGUCAUGUUUAUGCAAGUGUAGAACGAUGAGUAUAGUUUACCGUAAUUUAUGGAUUUUGUGUGUUUUUUUUAAAAAAGGUUAGUAACAUCUGUUAAAAACCUAUACUCUAAGAGGCUAAGUCUGAAGUCCACUUGGCUGCAAAACAACCACACUUUCCCGGGGGUGGGCAGGAGAGUGCCCGGAAUAUUAGUUCCCCCCCCCCUCAAAGUCCUCAGCACAUGUCCUGGCAGGAAGACGCCGGCGGGUUGCCAAGAAAAGAGGAAAAGAAAGUGAAACGCUUCCUCCGAGGAGUAUAUAGGGGGGACAUCAGAGGUUCACUCCCUGCAGCCUCCCGACAGCCCUCUGAGAAGAGAAUCCUGCUCUGCACCACCUCUGGCUAGCACCAUGGCCCUCCGUUCUGUGCUUCCCUUCUGCCUCCUGGCUGCUGCAGCUCUGGCUCUCUGCAUCCUUCCUGCCCAAGCCGUCAGGAACAAUUUGGAGGACUGCUGCCAGUCAACCAGAGAUGUACCUUUGCAAGCCAGAAAUGCAAACAGAUUUGCAACUUACCGUAUACAGAAGCCACAGAUGGGCUGCUCAAUCCCUGCAAUUGUGCUGAUCACUACGAAUGGCCGUGGACUGUGUUUCCCUCCAGAGUCUAAGUCGGCUUUGGCCAUCAAGAGAGUACUGGAUGCCAGAGCACUCCGGAAGCAGAAGCAGUCCUAAGGGCUCAAGGUCU